rnacentral:rRNA from 1 species
AGGACGAACGCUGGCGGCGUGCUUAACACAUGCAAGUCGAGCGACGCUCCUCCUUCGGGAGGAUGACGGAGCGGCGAACGGGUGAGUAACACGUGGGCAACCUGCCCCUAGCUCUGGGAUAAGCCCGGGAAACCGGGUCUAAUACCGGAUAUGAGAUCGGAAGGCAUCUUCUGUUCUGGAAAGUUUUUCGGCUAGGGAUGGGCCCGCGGCCUAUCAGCUUGUUGGUGAGGUAACGGCCCACCAAGGCGACG